GACGAACGCUGGCGGCGUGCUUAACACAUGCAAGUCGAACGCUGAAGCUUGGUGCUUGCACUGGGUGGAUGAGUGGCGAACGGGUGAGUAAUACGUGAGUAACCUGCCCUUGACUCUGGGAUAAGCCUGGGAAACUGGGUCUAAUACUGGAUACGACAUGUCACCGCAUGGUGGUGUGUGGAAAGGGUUUUACUGGUUUUGGAUGGGCUCACGGCCUAUCGGCUUGUUGGUGGGGUAAUGGCUCACCAAGGCGACGACGGGUAGCCGGCCUGAGAGGGUGACCGGCCACACUGGGACUGAGACACGGCCCAGACUCCUACGGGAGGCAGCAGUGGGGAAUAUUGCACAAUGGGCGGAAGCCUGAUGCAGCGACGCCGCGUGAGGGAUGACGGCCUUCGGGUUGUAAACCUCUUUCAGCACGGAAGAAGCGAAAGUGACGGUACGUGCAGAUGAAGCGCCGGCUAACUACGUG
rnacentral:rRNA from 1 species